UACGAAGGGGGCUAGCGUUGUUCGGAAUUACUGGGCGUAAAGCGCACGUAGGCGGAUAUUUAAGUCAGGGGUGAAAUCCCAGAGCUCAACUCUGGAACUGCCUUUGAUACUAGGUAUCUUGAGUAUGGAAGAGGUGAGUGGAAUUCCGAGUGUAGAGGUGAAAUUCGUAGAUAUUCGGAGGAACACCAGUGGCGAAGGCGGCUCACUGGUCCAUUACUGACGCUGAGGUGCGAAAGCGUGGGGAGCAAACAGG
rnacentral:rRNA from 1 species